rnacentral:rRNA from 1 species
CCUACGGGAGGCAGCAGUAAGGAAUAUUGCACAAUGGGGGAAACCCUGAUGCAGCAACGCCGCGUGAGCGAAGAAGGCCUUCGGGUCGUAAAGCUCUUUUCUAAGGGAUGAGGAAGGACAGUACCUUAGGAACAAGUCUCGGCUAACUACGUGCCAGCAGCCGCGGUAAAACGUAGGAGGCGAGCGUUAUCCGGAUUUACUAGGCGUAAAGGGCAAGUAGGCGGUAGUAAAAGUUGGGCGUGACAGAUCUCGGCUUAACUGAGAAAGGUCGCACAAUACUGGACUACUAGAGGGCAGGAGAGGGAGGCGGAACUCCUAGUGUAGCGGUGGAAUGCUCAGAUACUAGGAAGAACACCAGUGGCGAAGGCGGCCUCCUGGACUGUACCUGACGCUGAGAGGCGAAAGCUAGGGUAGCAAACGGGCUUAGAUACCCCGGUAGUCCUAGCUGUAAACGGUGGAUACUAGGUAUUGGGGGCAACAGACCCUCAGUGCCGAAGCAAACGCGUUAAGUAUCCCGCCUGGGGACUACGGCCGCAAGGUUAAAACUCAAAGGAAUUGACGGGGACCCGCACAAGCAGCGGAGCGUGUGGUUUAAUUCGAUGUAACACGAAGAACCUUACCUGGGUUUGACAUGUACGUAGUAGGGAGCCGAAAGGUGACCGACCUUCGGGAGCGUACACAGGUGCUGCAUGGCUGUCGUCAGCUCGUGCCGUGAGGUGUUGGGUUAAGUCCUACAACGAGCGCAACCCCUGUUGCCAGUUACAAGUGUCUGGCGAGACUGCCGGCAUAUAACCGGAGGAAGGUGGGGAUGACGUCAAGUCAGCAUGGCCUUUAUAUCCAGGGCUACACACACGCUACAAUGGUCCGGUACAGAGGGCAGCGAAACCGCGAGGUGAAGCAAAUCCCCCAAAGCCGAUCUCAGUUCAGAUUGCAGGCUGCAACUCGCCUGCAUGAAGUUGGAGUUGCUAGUAACCGCAGGUCAGCAAUACUGCGGUGAAUACGUUCCCGGGUCUUGUACACACCGCCCGUCACGUCAUGGAAGCUGGUAAUACCUAAAGUCGGUGAGCUAACCGCAAGGGGGCAACUGCCUAAGGUAGGACUAGUGACUGGGACGAAGUCGUAACAAGGUAACC